ACGGACUGCUCAAUUUAUUGGACAGUUAGUGGCGAAAGGGUUAGUAACGGGUAGGUAACGUACCCUGUGCUUUGGGAUAGCGUCAUCCCGACUUCGGUCGGGAUUUCCGAAAGGGGCGGUAAUACCAAAUAAUAUCAUUUGUCGAUAGGCGGAUGAUCAAAGAUUUAUCGGCAUAGGAGCGGCCUGCCUCCUAUCAGCUUGUUGGUGAGGUAACGGCUCACCAAGGCAGCGACGGGUAGCGGGACUGAGAGGUUGGCCCGCAACAUCGGGACUGAGACACAGCCCGGACCUCCACGGAGGGCUGCAGUAACGAAUAUUGUGCAAUGGGCGAAAGCCUGACACAGCGACGCCGCGUGUAGGAGGAAGUCCCUCGGGAUGUAAACUACUGUCAGGGGGAAGAAAGUGCGCUUCGGCGCAUUGAUCCAACCCAAAGGAAGUCACGGCUAACUUCGUGCCAGCAGCCGCGGUAAGACGAAGGUGGCAAGCGUUGUUCGGUAUUACUGGGCUUAAAGCGUGUGUAGGCGGAAAAGUAAGCGUUUCGUGAAAUCCCCCGGCUUAACUGGGGAACUGCGCAACGAACUGCUUUUCUUGAGGCAAGUAGGGGCGCAUGGAACUCUUGGUGGAGCGGUGGAAUGCGUAGAUAUCAAGAGGAACGCCAGUGGAGAAGUCGGUGCGCUGGGCUUGUCCUGACGCUGAGACACGAAAGCGUGGGUAGCGAACGGGAUUAGAUACCCCGGUAGUCCACGCCGUAAACGAUGCCUACUAGGUUGUGAAAGUUCUGACACUGGCACAGCCGAAGCAAAAGUGUUAAGUAGG
rnacentral:rRNA from 1 species